rnacentral:RNase_P_RNA from 1 species
GAAGCGGCUCAGACCGUCGCGUCCGUGAGGAUGAGGAAAGUCCGGGCACCGCAGGGCUGGUUGCUGGGUAACGCCCAGUGCGCGUGAGCGUGAGGAUAGUGCCACAGAAAUGAAGACCGCCGGCUAGACCGGUAAGGGUGCAACGGUGCGGUAAGAGCGUCACCAGCAGAGCCGAGAGGCUCUGGCUAGGUAAACCCCGCUAAAGGUGCAAGGCGAAGGUAUAUCUCGAGAGUGCGGUGGCCCGCCGUCUUGGGAUGCCGAUGCCGCUAGAGGGUUUGGGUAACCAAGCUCCAAGAUAGAUGACGGUCUAAACAGAACCCGGCUUAUGAGCCGCUUCCAAU